rnacentral:rRNA from 1 species
CCUUUACUACAGCUUCACACUGGACGCUGAUGUUGCUUGUGUAGGAUAGCUGGGAGGCUUGGAAACUCGGUCGACAGAUCGAGUGGAGCCAACCUUGAAAUACCAGCCUGGCAUCAUUGGCGUUCUAACUCCGGUCCGUUAUCCGGAUCUAGGACCGUGUGUGGUGGGUAGUUUGACUGGGGCGGUCUCCUCCCAAAGCGUAACGGAGGAUCACGAAGGUACCCUCAGCACGGUUGGAAAUCGUGCAAUGAGUGCAAGAGCAUAAGG